AGNUCGUAGGUGGUUUGUUGCGUCGUCUGUGAAAUUCCGGGGNUUAACUUCGGGGUGGCAGGCGAUACGGGCAUAACUAGAGUGCUGUAGGGGAGACUGGAAUUCCUGGUGUAGCGGUGGAAUGCGCAGAUAUCAGGAGGAACACCGAUGGCGAAGGCAGGUCUCUGGGCAGUAACUGACGCUGAGGAGCGAAAGCAUGGGGAGCGAACAGGAUUAGAUACCCUGGUAGUCCAUGCUGUAAACGGUGGGCGUUAGGUGUGGGGACCGGUUUGGUUUCUGUGCCGUAGCUAACGCAUUAAGCGCCCCGCCUGGGGAGUACGGCCGCAAGGCUACAACUCAAAGGAAUUGACGGGGGCCCGCACAAGCGGCGGAGCAUGUGGAUUAAUUCGAUGCAACGCGAAGAACCUUACCUGGGUUUGACAUGCACCAGACGGUUGUAGAGAUACGUACCUCCCUUUGUGGUUGGUGUGCAGGUGGUGCAUGGUUGUCGUCAGCUCGUGUCGUGAGAUGUUGGGUUAAGUCCCGCAACGAGCGCAACCCUUGUCUUAUGUUGCCAGCACUUUGGGUGGGGACUCAUGAGAGACUGCCGGGGUUAACUCGGAGGAAGGUGGGGAUGACGUCAAAUCAUCAUGCCCUUUAUGCCCAGGGCUUCACACAUGCUACAAUGGUUAGUACAACGCGCUGCGAGCCUGUGAGGGUGAGCGAAUCGCUGAAAGCUAAUCUCAGUUCGGAUUGGGGUCUGCAACUCGACCCCAUGGAGUCGGAGUCGCUAGUAAUCGCAGAUCAGCAAUGCUGCGGUGAAUACGUUCCCGGGCCUUGUACACACCGCCCGUCACGUCAUGAAAGUUGGUAACACCCGAAGCCCAUGGCCUAACCACCA
rnacentral:rRNA from 1 species